GCCUUUGUAGUGCAGCGGUCAGCACGCUGGAUGCGUAUUCCAGAGGCCCGUGGUUCGAUUCCAAGCGAAGGCG
rnacentral:tRNA from 1 species